AUGGACACCUGGACAGAGAGUGAUCCCGGGAGCUGUGUGGCAUUGGAUCCCAAGGCUCUCCCUGCAGUCAGAAAACUCUGUCGAAAAUGCACUGGACACCGGAACACGCCCAGCCCCUCAACCAGUGGCCAGAGCAGCACCUGGAUGUCUCCUCCACCACCCCGUCACCAGCCCACAAAUUGGAGCUGCCCCCAGGGGGUCGCCAGCGCUGCCACUACGCUUGGGCACAUGAUGACAUCUCCGCCCUCACUGCCUCCAACCUCCUCAAGCGCUACGCAGAGAAGUAUUCUGGGGUCCUGGACUCGCCCUACGAGCGCCCGGCCCUUGGCAGCUACGGUGAUGCCGCCUUCCUCAAUGGAGCCAAGGGGGACACGGAUCCCUGGCCAGGGCCAGAGCCACCCUACCCCUUGGCCUCGCUGCACGAGGGACUCCCGGGAACCAAGUCGGGAGGCGGGAGCGGAUCCACGGGCCUCGGGGGCUCCCCGGUUUUAGCAGGGAACCUGCCUGAGCCCCUGUACGCUGGCAACGCGUGC
rnacentral:lncRNA from 1 species